rnacentral:rRNA from 1 species
UGGGGAAUAUUGGACAAUGGGCGCAAGUCUGAUCCAGCCAUGCCGCGUUAGUGAUGAAGGCCCUAGGGUUGUAAAGCUCUUUCACCGGUGAAGAUAAUGACGGUAACCGGAGAAGAAGCCCCGGCUAACUUCGUGCCAGCAGCCGCGGUAAUACGAAGGGGGCUAGCGUUGUUCGGAUUUACUGGGCGUAAAGCGCACGUAGGCGGACUUUUAAGUCAGGGGUGAAAUCCCGGGGCUCAACCCCGGAACUGCCUUUGAUACUGGAAGUCUUGAGUAUGGUAGAGGUGAGUGGAAUUCCGAGUGUAGAGGUGAAAUUCGUAGAUAUUCGGAGGAACACCAGUGGCGAAGGCGGCUCACUGGACCAUUACUGACGCUGAGGUGCGAAAGCGUGGGGAGCAAACAGG